AUCCACUUUGGUUCAUGAUUGUAAUUAUUGGGUGUGCAUGCUGUUGUAGUGAAAUGUACUUCUCUCCUGAAUCUUGUUAAGAUAUCAACACCUUACCUGCCUGAUC
rnacentral:snoRNA from 1 species